AAGUGGGCACCAAGAAUACCCAUGGGUGCCCUUGGGUGAAGGCCUGAACCCUCACAGAAGCACAGCAGGUGGGAGUGGCCUGUCUAGAACUGGCAGGAGGCAAAGCCAAUGGGACAACCUUCUGAACUGAGCUGAGAGGGUGGAGCUGGCCACUACAGAUACAUGCUAGUCCGAGGAGCCUGGAAAUGUGCAGAAGGACAGAGGAGCACUUACCCUGAGCUGCAAUAGGAUUGAAAAGCCACAGACAUCUGAGCAGAGAGAGAGAAAGGUAUGGCAGCAAAGCAUGGGUUUGCCUGAUGUGUCCCCCAAAAGGAUGUAGGAGUUUUGAAGCACGGGGCUGGUGUGGUAGUGACCUGCCAGUGGGAACUUAUCUGGGUGGAGAGAUUUUGGAGCUCUGAGUCAGAGAGACUUGCCCACCAGUGCUUGACUGGCCAUAGCAUGGCAAGGUUCCUUUUUAUUGCUUCCCACAACAUGUGGUAAACCAACGUGUUAGGCAAGAAUCCACUAGAAAUUUAAGAUUAUUAGCCUGAGAGUUAGAGUUUUAUUUUCUAAGUGAGAGAAAGGUGGUGCUGGGAUGAUGAGUCAUGUGUACUUAAGCGAGGGAGCCUUGAAACAAACAAAAAAAAAAAAAAAAAAGAGGGCUCUGAGGUCCCCUGCUGUGGAAAGAGACAAGAUGGCUGCUCUGAGUCAGAGAGCUGGAGAAUGGAAGCUGCCUUUAUCUUGGGGCAGAUAUUGAUUUAACUGUGAAUUUAUAACAUUGGGAUUAUUUGCUUUUAGGAUAGAUUUAUAUACAGAUUUUGUUUAAAUCAUGUGGGGAAUUUCACCUGUGGUUCAGAGCUAGGAUA
rnacentral:lncRNA from 1 species